GUUCUCAAUUGAUAAACCCAGAGAGACUUCUUCUACUCCUCUUCUCUAAAAGUCCGAGAGAAAGAGAGAGCCAUCUCCGAUCAGGUUAUGAAUCUACGAUUCUCAUAUAUGUUGCAUCUAUUCUAGGGCUCCGUCAUCGAAAUUGUCAGCGCGAUCAGGUUAUUUUAUCUUCCUUCUCUCUCUCUCUCACUCCGUCAUUGAUGAUUCUCCUGAAGAACGAAGAUGAUUUUGUAUCCUUCAAUUCUCCUGAAGAACGAAGAUGAUUUCGUAUCCUUCAAUUUAAAUUUGUUUUGAGAUUUGAUUCUGAUUCGUUGGCUCUUCGGCUCUGUUUUGACGAAAGGAUUUUCUUGUUUUGUUUCCAACGGGACAUUGAUGGCACAUCGCACGAAGACACGCAUAGUAGUACUCUCGUCUCUUCUUCUAUGGUUUCUCACGGGUCAAAAAUUUAAGGGGAGCAAUACGUCUCAGAUUCAGUUUUCUUCCCAAGAAGAUGAAAUAAACUCCAUGGUUCUAAAUGAUCUGUAAGUGUGUGUAGUUAGUUUGACAGCUGAAUAUUACCUCGGUUAUUAUACACUAUGCCAAUAACUUGCUUCAAGAUAAGCUUGAGUGACACUCAAAGAUGCUGCUCCAGAAAAGUGGUAGAGCUUAUUAUUCAGACAAGUUUGUAAGUUGCUGCUGGUCUCCUCUUGCCGGUUGCAAAGAUGAACGAAGAAGAAUGAAAGAACUUUGUCUGUGGAACAAGAAGUUGCUGCCAAAAACCUGAAUAGAGGCAUGCAUAUGUAACGUUUGUCCACUGAGGUAAACUCAAAGAUCAAUGAGAAAGAAAAGUUGGCUAUGUUGCUUGGAUGGAUUUCUGAUCUCCCAUGCUUAGUAGUCAGUAAAUGGUUUUGUAACAAGAUAAGAUCUAGAUGGAAGCGUGCCAAUUAAUUCUGCCCUUGACUUACAAACUGCAAACAAAACUUUGGAGUGUGAGAAUAUCUUGAAGAAUGAAGCUUCCAAGUUUGACGAGGUUCAUCACAAUCCAUGAAAGAUAAGUUUAAAA